rnacentral:rRNA from 1 species
AACGUCUCAGUUCGGAUUGUAGUCUGCAACUCGACUACAUGAAGCUGGAAUCGCUGUAAUCGCAGAUCAGAAUGCUGCGGUGAAUACGUUCCCGGGUCUUGUACACACCGCCCGUCACACCAUGGGAGUCGGAAAUGCCCGAAGCCGGUGACCCAACCAAAAGGAGGGAGCCGUCGAAGGCAGGUCUGAUAACUGGGGUGAAGUCGUAACAAGGUAUC